AUUCCAUGAGGUGGGCACUUUCUCAGCAUUUCCUUGUACCUUUCCCAAGCAUCUUACAAAGAUUCAGACUCUGGCUGCGUGAAGGACGAGAUGUCAUUUCUCAACUU